rnacentral:rRNA from 1 species
ACCCGCUGAACUUAAGCAUAUCAAUAAGCGGAGGAAAAGAAACCAACAGGGAUUGCCCUAGUAACGGCGAGUGAAGCGGCAACAGCUCAAAUUUGAAAUCUGGCUCUUUCAGAGUCCGAGUUGUAAUUUGCAGAGGGCGCUUUGGCGUUGGCAGCGGUCCAAGUUCUUUGGAACAGGACGUCACAGAGGGUGAGAAUCCCGUACGUGGUCGCUAGCCUUCGCCGUGUAAAGCCCCUUCGACGAGUCGAGUUGUUUGGGAAUGCAGCUCUAAAUGGGAGGUAAAUUUCUUCUAAAGCUAAAUACUGGCCAGAGACCGAUAGCGCACAAGUAGAGUGAUCGAAAGAUGAAAAGCACUUUGGAAAGAGAGUCAAAUAGCACGUGAAAUUGUUGAAAGGGAAGCGCUUGCAGCCAGACUUGCCUGUAGUUGCUUAUCCGGACUUUUGUCCGGUGCACUCUUCUGCGGGCAGGCCAGCAUCAGUUUGGGCGGUUGGAUAAAGGUCUCUGUCAUGUACCUCUCUUCGGGGAGGCCUUAUAGGGGAGACGACAUGCAACCAGCCUGGACUGAGGUCCGCGCAUCUGCUAGGAUGCUGGCGUAAUGGCUGU